rnacentral:lncRNA from 1 species
AUUGAGAAGAGCUUCGCACGCUGCACAACAAAAAAAAAAGAAAACUUCACAUACUCACCAGUGUGGUACCAGAACCAGUCACGUCGAAAAACAGCACACGUCUUAUUAUCAUUCUGAUAUAACAGGUAGUCUCUGUAUUCGCCCACUGUGCGUCUGGGAAAAGUAGUUGAAUUGUC